rnacentral:rRNA from 1 species
GAUGAACGCUGGCGGCGUGCCUAAUACAUGCAAGUCGAGCGAACAGACGAGGAGCUUGCUCCUCUGACGUUAGCGGCGGACGGGUGAGUAACACGUGGAUAACCUACCUAUAAGACUGGGAUAACUUCGUGAAACCGGAGCUAAUACCGGAUAAUAUAUUGAACCGCAUGGUUCAAUAGUGAAAGACGGUUUUGCUUUCACUUAUAGAUGGAUCCGCGCCGCAUUAGCUAGUUGGUAAGGUAACGGCUUACCAAGGCGACGAUGCGUAGCCGACCUGAGAGGGUGACCGGCCACACUGGAACUGAGACACGGUCCAGACUCCUACGGGAGGCAGCAGUAGGGAAUCUUCCGCAAUGGGCGAAAGCCUGACGGAGCAACGCCGCGUGAGUGAUGAAGGUCUUCGGAUCGUAAAACUCUGUUAUUAGGGAAGAACAAAUGUGUAAGUAACUAUGCACGUCUUGACGGUACCUAAUCAGAAAGCCACGGCUAACUACGUG